GUUAAAAUUUUGAAUAAAUCAAAACUUUCAACAACGGAUCUCUUGGUUCUCGCAUCGAUGAAGAACGCAGCGAAAUGCGAUAAGUAAUGUGAAUUGCAGAAUUCAGUGAAUCAUCGAAUCUUUGAACGCACAUUGCGCCCCUUGGUAUUCCGAGGGGCAUGCCUGUUCGAGCGUCAUUACACCACUCAAGCUAUGCUUGGUAUUGGGCGUCGUCCUUAGUUGGGCGCGCCUUAAAGACCUCGGCGAGGCCUCACCGGCUUUAGGCGUAGUAGAAUUUAUUCGAACGUCUGUCAAUGGAGAGGACUUCUGCCGACUGAAACCUUUAUUUUUUACAGGUUGACCUCGGAUCAGGUAGGGAUACCCGCUGAACUUAAGCAUAUCAAUAAGCGGAGGAAAAGAAACCAACAGGGAUUGCCCUAGUAACGGCGAGUGAAGCGGCAACAGCUCAAAUUUGAAAGCUGGCCUUCGGGUCCGCAUUGUAAUUUGUAGAGGAUGCUUUGGGUAAAACGCCAGUCUAAGUUCCUUGGAACAGGACGUCAUAGAGGGUGAGAAUCCCGUAUGUGACUGGAAAUGUUAACCUAUGUAAAGCUCCUUCGACGAGUCGAGUUGUUUGGGAAUGCAGCUCUAAAUGGGAGGUAAAUUUCUUCUAAAGCUAAAUAUUGGCGAGAGACCGAUAGCGCACAAGUAGAGUGAUCGAAAGAUGAAAAGCACUUUGGAAAGAGAGUUAAAAAGCACGUGAAAUUGUUGAAAGGGAAGCGCUUGCAAUCAGACUUGUUUAAACUGUUCGGCCGGUCUUCUGACCGGUUUACUCAGUUUGGACAGGCCAGCAUCAGUUUCGGCGGCCGGAUAAAGGCUCUGGGAAUGUGGCCUCCACUUCGGUGGAGGUGUUAUAGCCCAGUGUGUAAUACGGCCAGCCGGGACUGAGGUCCGCGCUUCGGCUAGGAUGCUGGCGUAAUGGUUGUAAGCGACCCGUCUUGAAACACGGACCAAGGAGUCUAACAUCUAUGCGAGUGUUCGGGUGUCAAACCCCUGCGCGUAAUGAAAGUGAACGGAGGUGAGAACCGCAAGGUGCAUCAUCGACCGAUCCUGAUGUCUUCGGAUGGAUUUGAGUAAGAGCAUAGCUGUUGGGACCCGAAAGAUGGUGAACUAUGCCUGAAUAGGGUGAAGCCAGAGGAAACUCUGGUGGAGGCUCGCAGCGGUUCUGACGUGCAAAUCGAUCGUCAAAUUUGGGUAUAGGGGCGAAAGACUAAUCGAACCAUCUAGUAGCUGGUUCCUGC
rnacentral:misc_RNA from 1 species